rnacentral:rRNA from 1 species
UACGGGGGGGGCAAGCGUUGUUCGGAAUUACUGGGCGUAAAGGGCUCGUAGGCGGCCAACUAAGUCAGACGUGAAAUCCCCAGGCUCAACCUGGGAACUGCGUCUGAUACUGGAUGGCUUGAAUCCGGGAGAGGGAUGCGGAAUUCCAGGUGUAGCGGUGAAAUGCGUAGAUAUCUGGAGGAAUACCGGUGGCGAAGGCGGCAUCCUGGACCGACAUUGACGCUGAGGAGCGAAAGCUAGGGGAGCAAACGGG